AAAUGGUUCACAGAUCAAGAUCUGGUCAGAUCUGACUUUGUCGAAUUAACCAGGAUCUUGGGAACGAAUUUUUGAAUGAAACCAGUUGGGGGAUAAUUGGUUUAUACCAUGGUGAUAACCGAGAGAGGCAAUUGCUAAGUUGUGAUGCACUCAUGCCUCUACUAGAUGCGAACAAUUCCGGAGAAGAAGAAGAAGUGGAAUCGGACGAGGAUUUUAUUUAUGUUGCUGGGAUUCUUAUAUUGAUGGAGUUGAAGAAGUGCAGGGACGAAUAAGCCAAGGCAAGCCAUCUUUUGACCUCUCAUUCGGUGUCUAGUUGGAUGUCAUUUGUUGAUGUCCAAAGCACCUUGGUUCUAUGUGUGUUGUUCUCCUUACUAUUGUCAUAUAUGUAUGGUUGCUAGUGGAGUACUCCCUAGUGGUGAUACUCCACUAUUGUCGUUGUGAUUAUGGGAUGCAUGGUAUCAUGGCCGUGCUAUUCCACUUGGUUAUCUUGUAUGCUCAACUUGAGCAUGUCUCAUCUCAAGAAAAUGACUUACACCACACCCACCACUUUUGUAGUAUAGAGGUAUCAAUGUCAUGAUCUUGGUGUAUUCUCAACUUGAGAGGAGUAUGCCGUGUACCCAUUGGAGAGUAUGUUGGAUAGUGAUACUCCACUAUCUAAGUUGUUUUUCUAGCACCACAAAUCUGAAAGUAUAAUCCUCCUUGUGUGGCCAUAGUACAUGCUUACCUUAAGCAAGUAUGAUCCUAUUUGUGCCACUCACACCUACCCCUCACGGCGGGAUGACCUCCACCUCGGCCAUGGUGUUGUAUUAGUUCCUUCUCAUGAAACUGUAGGAUGGGAACCCCUCAAGGUUUACCUUGUUGUAAAUGUUUAUGAAAACCUUGGGUGAGUUAACCCAAGUGUAUGGUUUAUGAAAGCAAAGGAUCUUGAUAAAGAUGUUUGGGAAAGUGGUGUAUGGAGGUUGGUUGAGCAACCGUGGUGUUGUGGGAAAAAGGAAAUGGUUUCUAAAAAGGAGCACUGCGUAUAAGUGUUCGCCGUCCCAGCUUUUUAUCACGCAACCACACUACCCUGGUGUGGGACGGGGCUUAGCCCGUAGAUUAUUGAAGCUGGCAGGAGCACCCUUCACAACUCUCUAGGGAGGGUCACGAUGACCUCCGACGCUGGGUUGCGCUCUGGAGGAGGCAAUACACUGUCUAAACCGAUAGCCGGACGAUUACUGAGGGUCUUCUGUCAUGGCGCCGGAGAUACGCUCAAAAGGAGGUAUGCUGCCGGGGUGCCGGGAAGGGGUAAGCCCGCAGGGAAGGACUCAUGCCAGUGGAGAUGGGCGAAAGGUUAUGUCCGGGUAUCCGUCGUGGCAUAUGUUGUUAUGCGGG